rnacentral:rRNA from 1 species
UACGUAGGGCGCAAGCGUUGUCCGGAAUUAUUGGGCGUAAAGAGCUCGUAGGCGGUUUGUCGCGUCUGCUGUGAAAACCUAAGGCUCAACCUUGGGCUUGCAGUGGGUACGGGCAGACUAGAGUGCGGUAGGGGGUGACUGGAAUUCCUGGUGUAGCGGUGGAAUGCGCAGAUAUCAGGAGGAACACCGAUGGCGAAGGCAGGUCACUGGGCCGCAACUGACGCGUGAGGAGCG